rnacentral:rRNA from 1 species
GUGGGGAAUAUUGGACAAUGGGGGGAACCCUGAUCCAGCCAUGCCGCGUGUGUGAAGAAGGCCUUUUGGUUGUAAAGCACUUUAAGCGAGGAGGAGGCUACCGAGAUUAAUACUCUUGGAUAGUGGACGUUACUCGCAGAAUAAGCACCGGCUAACUCUGUGCCAGCAGCCGCGGUAAUACAGAGGGUGCAAGCGUUAAUCGGAUUUACUGGGCGUAAAGCGCGCGUAGAUGGCCAAUUAAGUCAAAUGUGAAAUCCCCGAGCUUAACUUGGGAAUUGCAUUCGAUACUGGUUGGCUAGAGUAUGGGAGAGGAUGGUAGAAUUCCAGGUGUAGCGGUGAAAUGCGUAGAGAUCUGGAGGAAUACCGAUGGCGAAGGCAGCCAUCUGGCCUAAUACUGACACUGAGGUGCGAAAGCAUGGGGAGCAAACAGGAUUAGAUACCCGAGUAGUCC